ensembl:lncRNA
GCUGAAAGCCCUGCAGUCACACUUGCUCUCAGACUUUUGUUCUCUUUCACUUUUGGAGCAUUUCUGCUGGAUUUUGUCUGAACUUUGUCCAUUGAAAUGUUCUGUGUGUUGAACAGCAGCAGUUGACUAUUUUAAUGACCAAAAGUUUUUCUCCCUGCUUCCUCGUGGGAAGGCGUGGUGCUCCUCCUCAACUGGAAAGUCUGGGUUUCCUGCCCGACUGCUCUGCCCUGAAUGCUUCAUUUCCAGUCAUCUGUAGUCGGAAGACACCGUAACCAAAGUGAACUCUUGCAAAUGCGGUUCAUAAACCGAGUCAGACUUGCAUUCUAGUUUUAGUGUAGUCAGGAAAAUCCCUGCUGGGCUCGAGGAGUGGCGUUUUUCACAGGAAGCAGAGGAACAGGGGAUCUACAGAUCCUGCCUGUAGGUUUCUCUGGGGCCUUCAGCUCUCCCCCCACAGACUAAAGCUCCCACCUGUGUGGUGGACUCCCUACCUGUGCAGCUUGGAUGCACGGAUGCAGUUUCACCUUUCUGGGAGUUUUUGCCUGAGUGACAAAGAUUUUCUUGGUAGAAACAGGCGAUGCAGCUUCAGUGCAUCACCUUCACCAGGUGUAGAAGACGCCAACAUCUCUGUAUCUCCAUUCAACAUGGCUGCCAUGCUGAAAACAACGUUUCACGCUGAGCAGCACCUAUUGGAGAUAAUCGAGUUUCCCUGGAGAGCCUGUCUCCAUCGAUCUUUCGCCCCCCUCACGCCCUCGCCACCUCAGAUCACGUCAGAUGCGACACUAAUCCAGACAUGGAGGAUUAGCAGAGGAGAAGCAGGGAUUCAGCUGCAUUCCUCAAUAGAAAGGCAUGCAGAGGGAAUGAGAAUUAAAAACGGGUCAAACGCGGGGUGCGUGUGCUGUCUGUGUGAGCGCUCACAUGUGCAUGAGGAUUGACUCCAGGGAUUUUAACGUAAACUGACCCAGAAACAUGAAAGCAGUGAAAAAGCAGACUGUGGGGGAACAGACAGCAAUGAUGAGGCAAAUGAGCAUGAAAGUGAAUUAAGUGGAGUUGGUGUCAUGCUGAUCGCCUCUCUGUGACUAAUUUCCUCCCUUUUUACUGUGACUUUGCUUGUUUAAAAACGAUCUGAUAAAAGAACUGAUACUCAAAGAUGGUCAACGGUAUCAGUGAAGGUGGAAUCAUUUGAUCAAUUAUAACACUGUAUUUUUUUUAUAUUUAUUUUGUUUUUUAAUUAUACAAUUUUCUUUUAAUGAUUACAAUGCUGCUACGGGAACGCACACAUUUCCCACGUGUGGGAUCAAUAAAGUAUUUGUAAUUCUGAUUUUCAGAGGGAGUCAGGGACUGCUGCUGGUAAAACAGAUGGAGGGAAUUCAUGUUGAAUCACACUCAUGCUGCAGUUCCAGAGACUUCCUGAUGAUGGAACGUAUUGAAUAUGCCCCAAAAGCUUAGGAUGCAUUCACACUGUUUGGAUCUAGACCAGAACUGGUUUCCUCUGAUGGUCCUCUUGAUUAGGCGAGUGUGAAAGCUCACAAACGGAACACUUAGACCUCUUCUGAACAUCGGUCUAUGUUUGCAAAUACACUCAUUGUGGUUUGUUUUAAUGUGAAUGCUUAGCAGACUAUCCUUAGGGAGGAAAGGAACCAAAGAAAGUGAAUGACACCGUGGAUGAUGAGUAAGGGAGGAUAAAAACUGUCCACGGCACCAUCCAUUUUAGGUCAGUGAAUCGGAUCGAAUCAUUUAAAAUGAACCAAUAUUGACUAUGAAUCAAUCUGGUUAAAAUAGCAAAAAGCCUGGUUCCAGUUUCCCAUUGGCUUAAGGCAGGGGUGUCAAAUAUACGGCCCGCCAGAUGGUUCAGUCCGGCCCAGUCAUGAAGAGUAAAAAUUCUAAGAAUGUUUAAAAAAGAAAGCAUGUUUUCUAGUCCAUUCCUGUGGUGAGUUAUGAUUUUUUAAAGAAAUAACCGAAAUGCGCAAUUCGGCCUCUAGGGGGAAAUGCAUAUCUUUGCACCUGCCAAAAGUGAAACAUAACGGCUUUGUGUCUAAAUAAGAUGUAGUUUGGUUCCCCGCAAGCCCCACUGCUGUUACAUUGUUAUAAGAAUGACCAGUAGUGACACCCUAAUGACCAAGAUGCUGUCAAAAAGAAAAAAAGGGUUGAAGUGAAGUGCUGAGCUUUCCAGGAAAAAUGGACAAAGUUUUAUUUGUGUUGAGUUGAAUGCAAAACCUGCGUGCUUAUGUCAUCAACAGGUGGCAGUGCUCAAAGAAUAUAAUAUUCAGCACCACUAUGAGACAAUGAGGAAAGUUUCACCAUUUGCAGUUAAGAAAAGAGAGGAUUUACCAACUAAAAGCUGGACUGAAAAAAAAACGUCUGCAUUUACUGCAGCAUGACGUCAGUGAUGGAGCAGUGAUGGACACCUGAUUGCAGACAAGUUGGAGCAAACAUCCAAACCAUUUUCAGAUGCUGAACCUAUAGAAAAAUGCUGAAGGCUGCAGAAGUCUUGUUCCCAAAAAGCAG